GUGUCUACAUGCUCUAGGAUCCAUUUCGUACUGUGUUGUUGCUCAACCUCGGUGCAAAAAUGGGAGAGCGACUACAUAAAGGAUACAUCAACAUCAGCUGGUUUCAUAGUGUUUACGUGUUCUCUGGGUGGAUUUUUCCUUCAAGAUAAGAAACUCAAAGAUGAAAAUGGGAAGUGCUUUUAAUAGUACAAGAUUCCUUCCUCUCUCUUUAAGCCUGAGUCUCUGAGGGAGUCAACAGUUUUAGUAGCACAUGGACAGUUCGCCUGCCCGAAUUAGGAUUGUCACGGUGAAUCAAAGGGGUUCAAUUAAAUGAGGAUAGACUUUAAAUGAUUUUAUUUACUUAAGUGCUCUAUGUUGGACUGUGCGUCUCUUUCUCGGUCUGUCGCUCCUGCUGUUCUGUAGAUACGUUUAUAUGACUGUAACAUGACUGUAACAUCACCACUGCAACAUCAUAAUCACAACGUCACAUCACCACCACCUGUGUCCAUCCGUCCGUCUGUCCGUCCGUCCGUCCGUCCUGCCAGGGCAGAGGGAGGACAGAUGGACGUACACGGCCCUCUCUCCUGUAUCAUCAUUCACAGUUCAUUAAAGCUUCUUAACUGUUUA